CAAACCAUCUGGUAGUAAAACCACCAGAUCAACUGGUCGAAAAUAAGUUUGACCAUUAUUAAAUUAACAAUAAAUCAAUAAUCAGUUUAACGAUCAAUUUAUGACUAAUAAAUACAUCGAAAUGGGCAAUCCGCAGCCAAGAUUUUCUUUUUACAUGGAUAAAAAAGAGAAUAAGGUCCAGAGACUUGACGGCAGUGGGUUUCUCUAUAAAUGAGAGGCCUAAGAUAAAGUCCAAUCAUUAGUGAAAGCUAAUG
rnacentral:ncRNA from 1 species